AAAUUGAAGAGUUUGAUCAUGGCUCAGAUUGAACGCUGGCGGCAGGCCUAACACAUGCAAGUCGAGCGGAAACGGCAGCAUUGAAGCUUCGGUGGAUUUGCUGGGCGUCGAGCGGCGGACGGGUGAGUAACGGCUGGGAACCUGCCCUGACGAGGGGGAUAACCGUUGGAAACGACGGCUAAUACCGCAUAAUGUCUUAGUUCAUUACGAGCUGGGACCAAAGGUGGCCUCUACAUGUAAGCUAUCGCGUUGGGAUGGGCCCAGUUAGGAUUAGCUAGUUGGUAAGGUAAUGGCUUACCAAGGCAACGAUCCUUAGCUGGUUUGAGAGGAUGAUCAGCCACACUGGGACUGAGACACGGCCCAGACUCCUACGGGAGGCAGCAGUGGGGAAUAUUGCACAAUGGGGGAGACCCUGAUGCAGCCAUGCCGCGUGUGUGAAGAAGGCCUUCGGGUUGUAAAGCACUUUCAGCAGUGAGGAAGGUGGUGUACUUAAUACGUGCAUUGCUUGACGUUAGCUGCAGAAGAAGCACCGGCUAACUCCGUGCCAGCAGCCGCGGUAAUACGGAGGGUGCGAGCGUUAAUCGGAAUUACUGGGCGUAAAGCGCAUGCAGGCGGUUUGUUAAGUCAGAUGUGAAAGCCCGGGGCUCAACCUCGGAACCGCAUUUGAAACUGGCAGGCUAGAGUCUUGUAGAGGGGGGUAGAAUUUCAGGUGUAGCGGUGAAAUGCGUAGAGAUCUGAAGGAAUACCAGUGGCGAAGGCGGCCCCCUGGACAAAGACUGACGCUCAGAUGCGAAAGCGUGGGUAGCAAACAGGAUUAGAUACCCUGGUAGUCCACGCCGUAAACGCUGUCUACUUGGAGGUUGAGGUUUAAGACUUUGGCUUUCGGCGCUAACGCAUUAAGUAGACCGCCUGGGGAGUACGGCCGCAAGGUUAAAACUCAAAUGAAUUGACGGGGGCCCGCACAAGCGGUGGAGCAUGUGGUUUAAUUCGAUGCAACGCGAAGAACCUUACCUACUCUUGACAUCCAGCGAAUCCUUUAGAGAUAGAGGAGUGCCUUCGGGAGCGCUGAGACAGGUGCUGCAUGGCUGUCGUCAGCUCGUGUUGUGAAAUGUUGGGUUAAGUCCCGCAACGAGCGCAACCCUUAUCCUUGUUUGCCAGCACGUAAUGGUGGGAACUCCAGGGAGACUGCCGGUGAUAAACCGGAGGAAGGUGGGGACGACGUCAAGUCAUCAUGGCCCUUACGAGUAGGGCUACACACGUGCUACAAUGGCAGAUACAGAGGGCAGCGAAGCUGCGAAGUGGAGCGAAUCCCUUAAAGUCUGUCGUAGUCCGGAUUGGAGUCUGCAACUCGACUCCAUGAAGUCGGAAUCGCUAGUAAUCGUGGAUCAGAAUGCCACGGUGAAUACGUUCCCGGGCCUUGUACACACCGCCCGUCACACCAUGGGAGUGGGCUGCACCAGAAGUAGAUAGCUUAACCUUCGGGAGGGCGUUUACCACGGUGUGGUUCAUGACUGGGGUGAAGUCGUAACAAGGUAGCCCUAGGGGAACCUGGGGCUGGAUCACCUCCUUA
rnacentral:rRNA from 1 species